rnacentral:sRNA from 1 species
AAAGUCGGGGAAGACGCAGACAGCGCGGC